rnacentral:rRNA from 1 species
AAGGCCUUCGGGUUGUAAAGCACUUUCAGCGAGGAGGAAGGGUAGUGUGUUAAUAGCACAUUGCAUUGACGUUACUCGCAGAAGAAGCACCGGCUAACUCCGUGCCAGCAGCCGCGGUAAUACGGAGGGUGCAAGCGUUAAUCGGAAUUACUGGGCGUAAAGCGCACGCAGGCGGUUUGUUAAGUCAGAUGUGAAAUCCCCGCGCUUAACGUGGGAACUGCAUUUGAAACUGGCAAGCUAGAGUCUUGUAGAGGGGGGUAGAAUUCCAGGUGUAGCGGUGAAAUGCGUAGAGAUCUGGAGGAAUACCGGUGGCGAAGGCGGCCCCCUGGACAAAGACUGACGCUCAGGUGCGAAAGCGUGGGGAGCAAACAGGAUUAGAUACCCUGGUAGUCCACGCUGUAAACGAUGUCGACUUGGAGGUUGUGCCCUUGAGGCGUGGCUUCCGGAGCUAACGCGUUAAGUCGACCGCCUGGGGAGUACGGCCGCAAGGUUAAAACUCAAAUGAAUUGACGGGGGCCCGCACAAGCGGUGGAGCAUGUGGUUUAAUUCGAUGCAACGCGAAGAACCUUACCUACUCUUGACAUCCAGAGAAUUCGCUAGAGAUAGCUUAGUGCCUUCGGGAACUCUGAGACAGGUGCUGCAUGGCUGUCGUCAGCUCGUGUUGUGAAAUGUUGGGUUAAGUCCCGCAACGAGCGCAACCCUUAUCCUUUUGUUGCCAGCACGUAAUGGUGGGAACUCAAAGGAGACUGCCGGUGAUAAACCGGAGGAAGGUGGGGGAUGACGUCAAGUCAUCAUGGCCCUUACGAGUAGGGCUACACACGUGCUACAAUGGCGUAUACAAAGAGAAGCGAACUCGCGAGAGCAAGCGGACCUCAUAAAGUACGUCGUAGUCCGGAUCGGAGUCUGCAACUCGACUCCGUGAAGUCGGAAUCGCUAGUAAUCGUAGAUCAGAAUGCUACGGUGAAUACGUUCCCGGGCCUUGUACACACCGCCCGUCACACCAUGGGAGUGGGUUGCAAAAGAAGUAGGUAGCUUAACCUUCGGGAGGGCGCUUACCACUUUGUGAUUCAUGACUGGGGUGAAGUCGUAACAAGGUAACCGUAGGGGAA